rnacentral:rRNA from 1 species
UACUCUCGGGGUAGGGGUAAAAUCCUGUAAUCCUGAGAGGACCACCAGUGGCGAAGGCGUCUGACUAGAACGGAUCCGACGGUGAGGGACGAAGCCCUGGGGCGCAAACGGGAUUAGAUACCCCGGUAGUCCAGGGUGUAAACGCUGCGGGCUUGGUGUCGGAGGUCCUACGUGGGCGUCCGGUGCCGGAGAGAAAUUGUUAAGCCUGCCGCUUGGGGAGUACGGUCGCAAGACUGAAACUUAAAGGAAU